rnacentral:lncRNA from 1 species
GGGCCGCUUCAGCGGCUUGGGGGCGGUGGAGAGGGACGGGGAAAGCAGUUCGAGGCUCGGGGGAGGGGGCGGGAGGCGGCCGGUGUCGCGGAGUUGGGGAGUGGUGUGAAGGUCAGUGCCAUCGCUUGCCCAGGGUGGGGGCGUCGUCGGUGUGGCCCGACCGUACGCUCUGCUGCGCGCCCAGGUGGGCGAACAGCAAAGUUUAGGCUGUUUUGCGCAGAUCAGGGGGCAACGGGAAAGUUGGCAGCUGCGUUUGCCCGGGAGAAGGGGGUGUUGGCCACAGCUUUUGGGCAGGAAGAGUUAAGCCGCGGCCCUUGCCAAAGACAACUUCGGUGGUGCGGCGGGAGCUAUCCCCCUGUCCUUCAGCGAGUUGCCGGCGUGACUUUUCCUAAUAGGACGGGGUGGGGGUGGGGGCUUAGCAGGUUAAUUUAGUGGAAGGAGGAGAAACUUGCAGAAAGGCUUGAUCACCCCUGCUGUGUUCCCAGGAGGUUCCUCCCCGCAUUGCCACCCUCCAGUCUGAUGCGGAGGCACUACGCAGAGCGUUCAAGCUUCCUUUCCCUGGCUUCUGAUAACCAGUUUUUCAGUUGAAGACUCAUUAAAUAUCAAGGGUCCGUCACAAUGAUAUCACAAUGUGACUUGAGGCCAGAGUCAAAGCAGGAGCCUGCAGGAUGCCCUGCAAACAGCCACAGCCCUUUACUGAAAGGAGGGAAUAAAUCCCACCCUGCUUAAAACGAUGGCUUCUGUUUGGACCAGAAGUGCGGGAGUCACAAUGUAGAAGUGAGAUGUCUUACAGUUUUGCAGCUUUCAGUAUUUGGAAUCCCUUUGGGGACAGAAAGUAGUGAAACAGCCAGUAAGGGAGGACUCACACCAAUAUUAGAAGAUUCACUUUCUAGUUGACCUUUCACUUUCCUGCGGGUGGUUGAUUACUUAAUGGUAGAUGGUUUGUCGCAUUAAUGGAUGGCAAAGUGAACCCCUGUUUGAGUGGGUCAGUUGCCAUCCAUGAGUCAGAGACGUGCACUUUGUAUCAGACCCUAUCCAGACUUUGCUGUUUGCUGUGUUUCAUUCAUGGGCCUGGGAACCACUCAUUAUAUUCUCCCUGUCCAUAAUUCAGAAUGCUUUAUUCUACUGCCAUCUUCCUGUCUGUACUAUUUAAUUAGGCUUAAUGAUGAUAACAUUAAUUCUGAAUUUUCUUUCUCAUUCAGGUUCUAUUUGUAAUUACUAGGGCUCCAAGAGUAGUCUAGUACAGUUACUAAGAAAAAUAAGGGAGAUUUGAGCUGAAAGGAACCCUGGAGACCAUCUGGUACUUUGGUGUAGAACAUUUCUAAUACAAAUCCUUAAAUCCUUUCCGAUGAGUAUUCCAAGGCUUUUUUCUUUGUUUGAGGUAGAACGCUUGGAGCUUCCCUGUUUGCAGGAUUUUAAAUGUGAAGUUGCCUUUAAAUUAAAACAAAACAAAACAUUCCCCACAACAAGGCUGAGUCACCCAUUUGGUCAAGAUUAUUGCCAGCUGAUUUGGUGAACCUGUGCCCACAGAAUUAAAGUACAUUCUCAAGUCUUAAAACUGGGGCCUUUUCUCCUUGGCAUAUGCUGCUCUUGAUAUGAAUAUUUGCAAAUUGUCACAUUUGGAAGGGCAGUGGAAAAGUCCCAGAGAGGAGAACAAAAAAGAAGCAGUGCUUCAACUUUCAGGUCGGAAAUUGGAUUUCUAAUCCUUUCCUAUCUAUCUUCUGGAUUUUCAGAGUCUGUGCUGGAGACAGUUUAGCAAUGUAUUAUUUUAGUUAAUAUGUUAAUCACUCCUUGGAGCCUUAUCUAGCAGCCUUUAACAAGCAGAAUAGAAACUACAGCAUUUAAAGUCAACAAGAAAUUAGGUCCUAGAAAUUCGAGGUGCUUUUCAGGUUUAAAAUAGACUCUAUUUAUUCCAGAACUUUUGAAGGAUAGUUGUAGAAUUCUUUAGUGUCUUCAAUCAGUACAUGGUAUAGUGGAAAGUACAUUUAUCUUUGUACUUAAUCCUUUUGAGUAUGUGAACAUGUAUGUCUAGUUCUCCUGUAGGCCUGGGUGUUCUGGUGCAGAGUAUUUCAUUACUCAUAGAGUUUAUGAUUACAGGAUUCAUUAAGUUUGGUGUGGGCUUUUGCUGCACAUUUAUUACCUUUUAAUAAAAUCUUUACCACUUACACUUUCUCCUAUAGCUCUGUGUAUGCAGGGAGAUGUGAGAGCUUAACAACAACAAAAAGUCAGUAAUUUGGGACCACAUAUCUUUCUGUUAAAAUAUUGUCAAUAAUUUCACCAUCUAAAAGGGGGCAAACGUAGUUUUUGUUUUGUCCUUUUGGUUUUCAAUACCCAUCUAGUUCAGUAAGGCUUUUUCUACUGUUCAUGUUUUCUGUCAAAACUUGCUGCUGGUAUGGCUCAUUUUGGGGGGGGGGGGGGAUCCUGCUCUCUGCCUGCUAAUAUAAUAAUGAAUUUAUUUGAUGACCAUCCUGUGUUAACCUGUCAAGGUAACUCACUACUGUAACCCAUUUAACAUGCAUUUCUCCAGAAAGGGCUUAAAAGGAAGGACUUUAUUGCCAAGAAUUUCCAUUUGGCUCAGAAGAUAUUUUUGGUCUUGCCCUUGGUAGGGACUGGUGACUGUUAUGCUGAAGACUACAUAUCAAGUCUGACUUUGGAUCUUUUUUAUGGGGAGAGAAAUGUGCUGGUCUAGUCUUCAGGAUUGGUUUGGCAGUAACUAUUAUGUCCUGUUAGGUAGGUACAAGUGAAACUCUUAGGAAGUAGUGAUUUAUAUAUCACCAGAAAAUAAACAGAUGAAAAGAAGAUAGCAACUCUCUAGGUCUUUUGAUAGAUAUACCAGAUUAGGGCAAGUAAUUACAUGAUGACUGCCUAGUUUUAUUUAUCCUCAUUUGCAUGCAGGGUUGGGGUAUUUUGGAAUAAUUUAAAUUUAUGUUAAGGAAUGGAAAUGCAAGGCUCACCCUCAGGAUCUGAUUAAUGAGGGCUGAGGUUAGGCCUAGGAAUCUACACUUCAUUUUAAGAACACUAGAAAGCUCACCAGAAGGGAGGUUUUGAGAAGUUUAUUAGAUAAGAAAAUUCUGAAUUUGGGAGCAUACUGAUAGAGAAGAUUUUUUUUUUUUACAACCAUAUGUGUGUGUUUUUAAAUGCUUUCUAGUUUGUUGUAUGGCCAGAAGUAAAUCUCCAGAGGAUGGAAAAGCAUUGAAAUUUUGAAGUUGCAGCACUGAAAGCAAUUUAAACAGUUUUAUUUUUUUCCCAGAGCCUCCAAGAAUCACUUUAGUCCUCAGCCUGAUGCAUAACUAAACAAGGGGGACUUUGCUAUUUUACAAAACUAUAUUUGUUUUUGUUUGCAGAUUGGCAUCCAUGUGAGAGUAUCUCCCAGCUUCCAAAAUGGGAAGCCUGGACAACAAACUAGAUAUUCAUGGAUUGUAAGGCAGUAUAAAAUUGUGAUUUCAUCUUUUUAAUCUUACAAAUAACAGUUAUCUUAUAGGUAUACAUUUCUUUUUAAAAGCUUAGCAUUUAUCAAAAUGUGAGCUGAGCACAUUUUACUCAUAUAUAUUAUUCCUUUGUUCUGUAAUUAGCACUAAAAAUAGAAGGUAAUAGUUUCUCUGUAUGAUGAGCUAGAAGUUAAAUUCUGCUUAUAUCCUUCUGUCUUAAGUUUUUAUGUCAGUUAAGGGAAGCAGGGAUAUAUAGGAUUCAAAUGUUAACAUCAUUUAGUAAUAUAAAUGGUUGUACCUUAUUAGUAUAAACAGUUGAGGGUAUAACUAGAAACCAGUCCAGUUUUUAACUGGAAAGCAGAGGUGGAAAAGUUCUUUGCUUUACGUAACAACU